CAUUUUCAUUGUUUACCUGGAACUCCUGGUGAGCCCUUUUGACCUUCCAGUCCAUUCAAACCAUCUAAUCCAGGCAACCCUGAUAAACCUUACAAGUAUUGUAAACAUUAUUAGAAGCAUGACCCAAAAAAACUUGAAAAUGUUCAUUUAACGAAAGUAAAUACAUAAAACUUGACAAUACAUUUCUGAUUCAGUACAGUGUUUGCUGGAAGUGUUUUGACAACUGAAGAAUGAACUACAUCAUUAACAGCUGAAGCCUGUUUUGAAAAAGGAGCAUCAUUUCUAGAUUGCUGGAUAGUGAAGGAAAUAUGAAAGCAGCAGAGGAAGUUUCUAACACAUUUGUCAACACUUCAUUAUAACAUUAACACUGGGGCUAAAAUGAUUUCCAUAAAAUGAAUGAAUGAAGUUAGCUGCAUAAACCUAAUAAAAUGCCUGCUCCUAAAGAAGAACAGGACACUUCUGCAACUAAGAAGUUUUCACUAUCAGGUGUGUAAAUACCUUUUCAAAUGGAGGGCAAUUUGGAAAUCCUUGUCAUUGCAGCAUGACUCCCAGUGCUGUAGCUAAUAUGUAUACUGUUGUGUGCAACACAAUAAACUGUUUUCCUACAGAUUACACAGCAACAAGGAAUUUGUUAUUGUAUUAUAUCAGCACCCCCUACCUUCCCAUAGAUAAUCAGAAAAAGCUUUCAUGUAAACCUCGGUUUUCAGUUUUGAACUGUCCAGGUCUGCCGUAGACUGAAACUGAAAAAUUGAAUGUUUUCUUUACAAAAAUUGAUUGUUCCCUUUUGGGAAAAUUUAUUAUGGACUCAAGGGUGGCUUUGACUUGAGCCCCAAGUCUGGGGCAGUAUGUGGUACCUCAGGAGCAGUUUAGGAAGCAGAUUAUGAGCACCUAGUAAAAAUAAACAAGCUAGCUUCAUUUCUGAUUAUAUAAUUUAUCUUAGUAUAAUGCUGAUAUAAUAUAUGCUAAAUUUUAAUUAGCUACAAUACAUAACAUUUAUAUUGUAUCCUUUAAGGGGGAAGAGAUUUUUAGAUGCACAGUUUUUUCAAUCUAAACACAGUGAUUGCCAUGAAAGAUGUAAUUUAUCAUUGAUUGGAAGUAUUUUUAAAUGUAAUCUGCCAAUAGAUCAUCUAUCUUGCAAACAGUAUUUAUUUUGUUAUCACAUUUUGAUAAAAUGCACCAAUUAUAUGAGACUUCCUAGAUUUGAACUGGCCACCUUUUUCAGUAUUAAUGUUUUCCACUUCAGUGUGCUCUGCUAUUCGUAUUCAUGUUUGCUGUAUGCAGAGUAACAGUGGCACUACAUGGCCAGAAAAUAAAUGACAGUGUAACUGAAGCGUUAGUGAAAUAUCUAUCUUCAGAGAAUUUUACUGUUCCUGUGUCAAACUCUGCCCUCCGUUACACCAGUUGAACCAGAAUUUAAGGUUUAUGUCUCUGCCUCCUUAUUUACUUUAGAUUGUAGCCUGAUUUCUUUAGCCAACAUUUGUGCUUUAAGGGUGGGAUUUUCAAACAUGCCUAACUCUUCUAACUUCUGACAUCAAAGGGGAGUUUUACUAUUGAUUUCAAUGGGAGCAGACUUAGGCCAAUGCUAAGCACUUUUUAAAAUCCUCUCUAUUUUCAGUUACAUUUGUUAUUGCACAAAAUUCCCAGUAAUUUCUGACACCAUUACUUGAACUGUAAUGUGUGACUAAUGCUGCACU